UCUUAUUUCACCAGCCAAACUCAUCCAACAGAGACAACCAUGUCAGCAAAGGGAGCACAAUGCAAAGAGCCAUGUCCUCCAGUGGCAGUAUGCCAGGAUCAGGCUCCCAAAUGCCAGGACCCAUGUGCCCAACCUGUAUGCCAAGAUCCAUGUGCUGACCCCUGCCAGAAACAAGGCAAAGGACAAGUUGGAAUUGCUAGUCAGGGAGUAUUUGGAGGAAAGAAGUGAAG